rnacentral:lncRNA from 1 species
GCCUCGCAGCAGCUGAUUGAAACCUUGGGAGAGGAGUGUAGCUGUUAGUAGGAGAGCAGUCCAGUCUCCUGUGCCUAGAAAUGGAGCUUUGGCAUUCGCACGUGCAGAUGCAGCUGGAUCUCUCUCACCUUUUUCACUAGAAGAACUGCUUUGGUAACUUGAUAUGCAUCUGACUCAACUGAACCUCAGCAGCAAAGGAGGAACCAGUGGUAAUCCAAAUUCACAGUGGCUCUGGGGAGCAAGCUAAGCUGUUGUAGUUUAUCCUCACUGCUUAGCUCAAUCGGUCCUGGUCCACAUGCACAGAGGAAGAAUUUGCUAUGCAGCUGCUGCCCUCUUUAUUUCAUUGCCAUAUCUACGAGGCUGGUGUCAGGAGUGUAGAGGAAAGCAGCAGGCUCAUUUACAAGCUAGGAAGCCAACUUGUAGCUAUUCAUAUUUGCUAUAGGCUCUCAAGGCCGAACUUCUACUUACUAAGAAUGUAAAAGAUUUGGGACUCUGAGCUACCUACUUGAAAAGCAACUUCCAGAAUUUAUCUGUAUACCCACAGUUUGAAGAAAUGAAACUAAACCUUUCUAAUGCUCUACAGUCAUGCCAUGAAAUAUCCCAAGUUAUGACUGUCCUGUAAGAUCCGUGCAAUGCAAAACAACUCUAAUCAUAAAAUUUUCCUCAAAUUUGUUUGGAUGACAAUAUAUAAUUAUAAUUGAAUUUUAAGCUAAAAAUGGAUUUAUAAUGUUCCUUAAAAUGAUAUCGUAAGUUACUAUUAGUUUAAGACCUUUCCUUUCAUGUGUAAUCGACAUCCAUACUCAGAUGCUCCGAGGCACACAGCAAGAACAACGCUGGUAUUUAAGCACUGAGAUGUCACAAUGGAUGCACUACCAGACACUGCAUCGAGAGGGAGAAAAGAACAUGUUUUUCAACUUCAACUCCAUCCUUUUAAUAAGGAGAGUUCACCCAGUGCCUCAGAGGGAACAUUCUGCAUGCAGAAACCUGCCUGAGCAGAGCACUGCUAAGGUACCCCUCAAAAAUGGGAAGCACUGCAUCAUCCCAGCACCCCAGAACACAAGAUGGAAAAAUGCAGAAGGCAAGAGUGGCGAAGGGUAACCUGGCUGCUGCCAGCAGAAUUGUACUUGAGGUGGAUCUAGAGAGAUUUGGGCAUCUACAGACCCCACAGGAGUCCUUCCAGAAGUCUUGAUGUUAACAGGUGUUAACCAAGCUCAGACUUGAACGUAUGAUAUUAAAGGUGAGAAGCAGUUUAAUCCCCAGUCCAGACGUACAUCUCCUGAAAGAAAUGGCUGAUGUUAGCCUUUCAGGUUGGAUAUUAGGAACAUUAUCUUCUCAGAAGGAGUGGUAAUGCACUGGAACCGGCUGCCCAGGGAGCUGAAGGAGUCACUGUCCUUAGAGGUUUUCAAGUAAAG